CACGGUUAUCGACUUUGAUUUCUCUGCUCGCAUCGGUGUGUUGUCAUUUUGUUAAUUUGUGUAAUUACACGGCCUGCCACCCAAAACAAAAGUAAAUAAGUAAGGGCAACCAAAAAAAUCGCAGAUAGGAAGUGGGCUGGAACGCCUGACAACUUGAUUUAAGGUCCGGAGCAAAUCGGCAGCAGCAAGCUUAUGGAAAUGGUGCGCGUCAAAGAUUGGGCGGACUACGAGGCGCUGCCACUUACAACUGUAAUUACGGAGUACUGAGCGCACUGAAUUUAGUUGUACAUUUUGUAAAUAGUAUAUAUGUACACAGAGAUUCACGUUUACUUAUGUGUGUUUAAAUGUACUUUUAUAUUUUUAAUAAAGAGUCAAGUUAACUUAAAUUAACAAAAAAGG